CGCUUUGUGCAGUGGCAGUAUUGCAGCCAGAGAGGUUUAUCCGAGGCGCGAUUAUUGCUAAUUGAAAACUUUUCCCAAUAUCCCUCCAUGACGACUUGAAAUACAGUCAGCAUUGGCAAUUUUUGACAGUCUCUAUGGAGA
ensembl:snRNA U4 U4 spliceosomal RNA